GCGCGCCGGCGCCCCCUCCCCGCCACGUGACCAGCGGCUCAGCACGACCCGCGAUUUGCACCCCCGCUACGCGGCGCGGAUGGAGCCGCAGCGCUCCUCUGCGGAGCUCGCCCCUCAGGUCCUCAGUCCAAGGAGCUCGCGGUGACUUACACGCGUGCGGGACGCCGGCGCCGGCCUACCCCUCAGUCUCUGGCAGAGAAAAGGGAAAAGCCGCGAAGGACGGAUGGGGCGUACCCCCGGGGGCCUGACUCAGAGCCUGCCCUGUGGUAUUUGGUGGAUGGUGGUGGUUAAACACAGGAACCGGGAAGGAAGAGCGGCUCAGAGGGUGGAGACCCCCGUCUCUAGGGGGAAGAGGCUGAUAGACUGGAUGAUGCAUGAGUAAUCUGCUGUUGGCAAGCUUGUUAAGUGAGCAAAACUUCUGAAGAUUUUAAGGUGUGACCACAUCAUGCAUGAAACAGCCCAGACGUGCUUCAACCAUAACAUGGGAGUACAUGAUUCAGACUAUGUCGGCAACAUAGCUCACUUACGGAAUCCAGUGGAAUGAGAGACAGAUGGACUCCAAGAGUCAUUGGGGAGAACUCUUCAUCACUGCAGCCAUGCACCUAAACCUAAACAGGUUUUUCUGCCAAGAAUCUAGGGAAAUCCCAUCCCAUCUCCCCAAAUUUAUAGAUAACAUCACUAAGGUUUUUUUUACCUGACAAGUACUAUAAAGCUGAGAUUGUGCUUACUUGGGUAGCACAUAUACUAAAGAAAAGCUGAGGUUUUUUUUUUUUUAACGUUUAUUUAUUUUGAGAGAGAGAGAGAGUGGGGAAGGUCCAGAGAAAGAGAGAGAAUCCCAAGCAGGCUCUGCCAUCAGUGCAGAGCCUGACAUGGGUCUCAGUCCCAUGAACCGUGAAGUCAUGACCUGAGCCUGAAAACAAGAGUUGGACACUUAACCAACUGAGCCACCUAGGCACCCCUAUUAGCUGAGAUUUAAACCUAGGUCUAUUUAACUUAGCCUGUGUUAAAUACUAGGCUAUUUUCAUUUUAUUUUGUUCAAAAUCCUGAGGUCAUAGAGAAGAAUAGAAGGGUAGUGAUGAGGUGGAUAAUAGGAGGCAGAAAACGCAGGGUUGUUUUAAAGUCUUAACCCUGAGCCUUCUAUCUUUUGUACACUGUUUCUUCAUAGAAGACACUUUCUCCUACCUAGUAAGUUGUGUACAGGACAACAUGGAAAUAAAGGAGAGGCAGAUAGACCAACAAGGGAGUAAUUUUAGUAAUUCUAUUAUAUAAUUCAAACCUCCUUGUAAUGCAAUUUAGCUUCCCCACUGAUUGUGAAUUAAUCAGGUUUCAUAAUUAUAUUUAUAAUCAGGUUCUUUCUACGUAAUUAUUGUUUGUACUUGAGCAAAUUGCUUAGGAAGGCCACCUCCAAAUCCAAAUUAAAUGUUUCAUUUCCUAUUUCCUUUAUGGGGGCACAUGAUUAUUUUGGGAAAAGCAUUGGCUUGACAAUUAAAUUCCAUGUCUUGCUGUAUCUCCUAGGGAAGACCUAGAUCUCUUUUAAUUAUUUUUUAACAUUACAUAUUCACAAGUCUUACCAACCCAUGGGUGGGAAGGAAGGGCUCUUAGUGGAUCCCUGAAGUAUUACAGACCUCAGGCAAACUUGUAUGCAGUCUUUGUAUUUUAAAAAUUCAGGUAUUCCAGGAAGCCUGGGUGGCUUAGUUGAGCAUCAGACUCUUGAUUUUGGCUCAGGUCUUGAUCCCAGCAUCGUGGGAGCAAGCCCCACAUCAGGCUCC